rnacentral:rRNA from 1 species
UGACUGUCUCUUCUAAGGAUUAUUGUAAACUUGCUUAUUCAGUGCAAAUACUGAAAUAUUAAAUAUUAGACGAGAAGACCCUAGGAGCUUUAUUUAAUUACAUGAACAUAAUUUUAAUAAAUUGGUUGGGGCAACCACGUUACAUAUAACUAAUGCAAUAGGACGGAAAACCUGCACAAUGAUAUUUUGAAUGACGUAGCUACCCUAGGGAUAACAGCAUAAUUUAUUUAUUAAGAUUGUGACCUCGAUGUUGGAUUAG